CCUACGGGUGGCAGCAGUAGGGAAUCUUCCACAAUGGACGCAAGUCUGAUGGAGCAACGCCGCGUGAGUGAAGAAGGUUUUCGGAUCGUAAAGCUCUGUUGUUGGUGAAGAAGGAUAUAGGUAGUAACUGGCCUAUAUUUGACGGUAAUCAACCAGAAAGUCACGGCUAACUACGUGCCAGCAGCCGCGGUAAUACGUAGGUGGCAAGCGUUGUCCGGAUUUAUUGGGCGUAAAGCGAGCGCAGGCGGAGAAAUAAGUCUGAUGUGAAAGCCCACGGCUCAACCGUGGAACUGCAUCGGAAACUGUUUUUCUUGAGUGCAGAAGAGGAGAGUGGAACUCCAUGUGUAGCGGUGGAAUGCGUAGAUAUAUGGAAGAACACCAGUGGCGAAGGCGGCUCUCUGGUCUGCAACUGACGCUGAGGCUCGAAAGCAUGGGUAGCGAACAGGAUUAGAUACCCUAGUAGUC
rnacentral:rRNA from 1 species